UGAGAAUACUUCUCCUUUGGAAGGGUCUA
rnacentral:piRNA from 1 species